AAAUUUUGCAAUUACUCUCCCAUCAAAAUCUUUUCUCCUUACCUUUCAGGAAAUGAGAAGAAAAUGGAUCUCAAAGAUGAUGCAAGCCUAUAGGAGAGUCGAUGUCUGGCUGGAUGUCAGCUUGUCCCUUCCCCAGAGUCUUCGAUCCAGCCUCUGUCUUCUGUCUCACACAAUGGUGCCAGCCCUCAUAUCCAAGGCUGGUGUUUUUGUCACAGCAAGUGAAGAAGCUGCUCUCAGCUGCAUUACACUAUCUUCUUCUGAUUUUUCCACCAUGUAUUCUCAAUGUGACAGCAAGAAGAAUCAUCUUGAGACCAACACAACAGCAACAAAACAAAACAAAACCUCAAAAGAUCAUGGCCCUGCUCAAACCCUUCUAAAGACUUCCAUUUAACUCAGAGUAAAAAAUCUUGCCAUGGUCUGUGCUGUGGCCCCUGUGGCCUCUGUGACCUCAUCCCACACCACUCUCCCCAGCCCACCAUGCUCACUAUGCUUUGGCUCAAACCCACAGGUACCUUUGGACCUCAGGGCCUGUGCCUUGGCUGUUCCCCCAGGUAUUGGUUUGGCUUCCUCCCUUGCCUCUUUUUUAUUUUAUGUAGGGUUCCCUUCUCAGUGAGACUACUUGGCCACCCUAUUUAUAAUAACUAUAUCCCU
rnacentral:lncRNA from 1 species